UACCAUAAACGAUGCCACCAGCGAUCCGCCUGAGUUAACUUAAUUGACGACUCGGCGGGAAGCUUCCGGGAACCCUUGAGCAAGGUUCCGGGGGAAGUAUGGUUGCAAAGCUGAAACUUAAAGGAAUUGACGGAAGGGCACCACCAGGAGUGGAGCCUGCGGCUUAAUUUGACUCAACACGGGGAAACUCACCCGGCCCGGACACUAGCAGGAUUGUCAGACUGAGAGCUCUUACUUGAUUUGGUGGGUGGUGGUGCAUGGCCGUUCUUAGUUGGUGGAGUGAUUUGUCUGCUUAAUUGCGAUAACGAACGAGACUCUAGCCUACUAAAUAGUGAUUGGGCCGCCCGGGACUUUGCCGUUGGUGUGGGUGCCUCGAGGCGCUCAUGCUAGCUAAAGACGACCGGGACCGUGCCGCAAUGCACUUCUUAGAGGAACUACCUGUGAAUUAGCUGGAGGAAGGAGAGCAAUAACAGGUCUGUGAUGCCCUUAGAUGUCCGGGGCCGCACGCGCGCUACACUGAAAGGUGAAGUGUGCUCGAGACCCCAGCUUUCUCGAAAGAGAUCGCUAACCAUGCAAACCCUAUCGUGAUGGGGACAGUUCCUCGUAAAUAUUGCACUUGAACGAGGAAUUCCUCGUAGGCGCAGUUCAUCAGACUGCGCCGAUUACGUCCCUGCCCUUUGUACACACCGCCCGUCGCUACUACCGAUUGAAUGUACGGGUGAGCUCUUGGGACCGGUUGUUAUGGGUUGCCUCGCAAGGGGCAGCCCGCUACGACUGGAAACAUGCGCAAACUCGUUCAUUAGAGGAAGU
rnacentral:rRNA from 1 species